GACAGAGGGUGCAAACGUUGCUCGGAAUCACUGGGCGUAAAGGGCGCGUAGGCGGUCCUUCAAGUCAGGCGUGAAAGCCCCGGGCUCAACCUGGGAACCGCGCUUGAGACUGGCGGGCUAGAGUUCGGGAGAGGAUGGUGGAAUUCCCAGUGUAGAGGUGAAAUUCGUAGAUAUUGGGAAGAACACCGAUGGCGAAGGCAGCCAUCUGGACCGACACUGACGCUGAGGCGCGAAAGCGUGGGGAGCGAACAGG
rnacentral:rRNA from 1 species